GGACGUUGAUAGGUCGGGUGUGGAAGCGCUGUGAGGCGUGAAGCUAACCGAUACUAAUUGCUCGUGAGGCUUGAUCCUAUCAUUU
rnacentral:rRNA from 1 species